rnacentral:rRNA from 1 species
AACGAACGCUGGCGGCAUGCCUAACACAUGCAGGUCGAACGAGACCUUCGGGUCUAGUGGCGCACGGGUGCGUAACGCGUGGGAACCUGCCCUUAGGUUCGGAAUAACUCCCCGAAAGGGGUGCUAAUACCGGAUAAUAUCUUCGGACCAAAGAUUUAUCGCCUUUGGAUGGGCCCGCGUUGGAUUAGCUAGUUGGUAGGGUAAAAGCCUACCAAGGCGACGAUCCAUAGCUGGUCUGAGAGGAUGAUCAGCCACACUGGGACUGAGACGCGGCCCAGACUCCUACGGGAGGCAGCAGUGGGGAAUAUUGGACAAUGGGGGGAAGGCUGAUCCAGCAAUGCCGCGUGAGUGAUGAAGGCCUUAGGGUUGUAAAGCUCUUUUACCCGGGAUGAUAAUGACAGUACCGGGAGAAUAAGCUCCGGCUAACUCCGUG